AUUGCGGGACCCGCUCCUAAUGGUGGACGUGUUUGUUCCCACGUGGCACAUCGUUUGCACACAGGUAAAAUGGCUACCAUUUUUUUUGUCAUUGCUUUUUUGUAUGUAUUUUUAUUCGAACUACACACGGGUUUUACUGACGACUUGCUGUGACUUACCUUCUACCACCCUAUCAAACGUCGUUUUAUACCAGUGGUUUUCCUGUAAAUCAGUAGACUAUUAAGUAACGCGAUGGCCAUACACUUUUAAGCAAUAACUAGUGAUCUUUUAGUUAUUCAAUUAUAAGUUUGAAUUAUUUUUUUCUUGAGUAAAAUGGUUAGAGAAAAUAGCUGCCCGUGGUUUUGAAGCUGCAUAUACUUUUAUGUACAUCUGUGUCUAUAUGCCUGUACUGUAUACAGUAUAUAAAAAAACACGUAGUGAUUCAUUUGCUUGAAUUCCUUAAUCCUUUUAUUUCCAUACUUUAGGUAGACGAGGAAGACCAGGACUUGACAUUACAAGGGAUCAAAUUGAACUGCUCCCCACUCAGGGCUUUACAGUGAGAGCGAUCACGGGGAUGUUGGGUUGUUCCUCUUCAUACCUGCAUAAAAAAAAAGAAGUUUUUUUCAGAUUUCAGCCAGAAAUAGAUUUACUCCCAUUCAUGAUGUUGACCUGGAGGAGCAUGUCAGAAGAUUGCACAGCCAAUUUCCCAGAUCAGGCUCGGAAAUGAUGAGGGCAUACCUGUGUGCUGAUGGUAUUGUAGUAUAAAGAAAAAGAGUUCGAGAAAUCCUGAACCGUAUUGAGCCAGCUGCUGCAGCCCAUAGAUGGAGCCAGACUUUGGCUAGAAGAACAUACUAUGUGCCAUUCCCCAAUAGUUUAUGGCACAUAGAUGGGCAUAUGCGUCUCAUUCGGUGGGGGUUUGUGACACAUGCUGGCAUUGAUGGGAAUUCCAGGCUAAUAACGUACCCUCAACUGCAGCACAGACAACACAGCUUUGACAGUGUUGAAAUAUUUUGUCCAAGCCACCUGCCUGUAUGGGUUACCCUCCAGAGUAAGAUCCGACCAUGGUGGUGAAAACACGGGUUGCUCUUUUAAUGAACCUACUGCAGGGACAAGACACCAAAAUUAUUUCUAGCUCCAGCCAACACCCCCUCACAAUUUACUCACACCUCCCAUGGCCUGAUUAUCUACCAACAGGGGCCCUUUUUGGAUUAUCAUUUUGGCAUAGGAACUUUCCUAUCCUAACCGAGUGAGAUGAGCCGGUAGCACCUGGAGCAAAGAUCGUCUAAAUUUUAAUAAUGCUUAGGAAAGGUUCUGAUCAUUCUUUACGAAAAGAAAGGAGAUAUAUUAUGCAGCAGGAAUAUUUAAAGGGGAAGUCUUUUUUUAUUUUUAAUGCCUUUACAAUCAUACAUUCUAUGCACAUACACUGGUCUAAACAUGGUAUUCAGAUUAAUUUUACCUUUGUGGAAUAUGAAUUAUGCAGAAAAUCUCACUUGUUUUUAUCCAAAUCAGGGGGCUAACAUUUUGUACUUGCUAUUGACCGAACAGUACAUCACAGUUUCUGUGAGGACAAAAUUUCUGGUUCUGUCACAGUCCACCGGAAGCAGAAAUUGCUUUCACAUCGCGCAGCUGUAACUUGGGCCGAUCACAAGUGCUGUUGUUGUUGUUGUUGUUGUCGACCCCACCCGUGCCCCGACAUUGGGGGACCGGGCCCUCACUCCGUCUCCCGGAUCCCCAGACCCCCCUCCUCCGCCCAGCGGGCGAGCAGGGCCGCCACUCCGCUUGGGUUUCGCCAGAGGUCCUCCGGAGUCAGUGUGGUGGGUAUGUUUGUGCAGGUGAACAGGUGUUGUGUGUCGUGCACUUGCGUGCCGCAUAGCGCACAGAGUGGUGUUGGGUGUGUGUCCGGUGUAAUGUUGUGUAGGUAGGAGUGGAGGGCUGGUGAUUUGUUGGUUCGGAGUUGUGCUAGGAGUUGUCUGGUUCUGUGUGGUAGGUCUUGCUCUGAUGGGUCUAUUUCUGGUG